AUGGCGAUUAGUAAGAAAAAUGCAAGCUUUCUAUGCUUAGGAGUCCUCAUGUUGGUGAUGGCGACUAUUAUGUUGUCAUGUGAUGCGGAUCCAAAAGAAAGGUGCUACGAGAUUGAAGAUGGAUGUGAUGAAACUAAGUGCAUGGAAAAUUGUGUGGGCACUGGUCACACCAAGGGAUUUCAUUGUCGUGAUGUCGGUGAAUGUUGUUGUUUGAUUUCUGCCAAGACGAAUGUGGACGUCAUCCAUCGCCAUGAUUGA
rnacentral:rRNA from 1 species